GUUAUAUGGUCAAGUGAACAAGCGCAUCUGGUGAAUGCCUUGGCAGCUGAAGGCGAUGAAGGACGUCGUAGCCUGCGAUAAGCCUCGGGGAGUCGGCAAACAGACUUUGAUCCGGGGAUGUCCGAAUGGGGAAACCCAGCCAACUUGUUGGCUAUCGUGCACUGAAUUCAUAGGUGUACGAGGCGAACCCGGGGAACUGAAAUAUCUAAGUACCCGGAGGAACAGAAAUCAACCGAGAUUCCCCUAGUAGCGAUGAGCGAAACGGGAACAGCCCAUAAGCGACGCGAAUGGCUAGCAGAAGCCUCUGGAAAGUGGCGCCAUAGCGGGUGAUAGCCCCGUACGCGAAAGCCGUCGCGACGUGAAAUUGAGUAGGGCGGGACACGUGUAACCCUGUCUGAACAUGGGGGGACCAUCCUCCAAGGCUAAAUACUCUCAGCUGACCGAUAGUGAACCAGUACCGUGAGGGAAAGGCGAAAAGAACCCCUGUGAGGGGAGUGAAAUAGAUCCUGAAACCGGAUGCGUACAAGCAGUGGGAGCCCCAUCGAUCGAGCACGUCCGCUUGCGGACAACGCUCUGUCGAGGGGUGACUGCGUACCUUUUGUAUAAUGGGUCAGCGACUUACUCACACCGGCAAGGUUAACCGUUUAGGGGAGCCGUAGGGAAACCGAGUCUUAACAGGGCGAUGAGUCUGUGUGAGUAGACCCGAAACCGGGCGAUCUAGCCAUGGGCAGGGUGAAGGUCAGGUAACACUGACUGGAGGCCCGAACCCACCUAUGUUGAAAAAUGGGGGGAUGACCUGUGGCUCGGAGUGAAAGGCUAAUCAAGCCCGGAGAUAGCUGGUUCUCCUCGAAAGCUAUUUAGGUAGCGCCUCUCGUAUCACCGUUGGGGGUAGAGCACUGUUUGGGCUAGGGGGUCACCUCGACUUACCAACCCCAUGCAAACUCCGAAUACCGAUGAGUGCAGCGAGGGAGACAGACGGCGGGUGCUAACGUCCGUCGUCGAAAGGGAAACAACCCGGACCGCCAGCUAAGGUCCCUAAGUCAUGGUUAAGUGGGAAACGAUGUGGGAAGGCUCAGACAGCCAGGAGGUUGGCUUAGAAGCAGCCAUCCUUUAAAGAAAGCGUAAUAGCUCACUGGUCGAGUCGGCCUGCGCGGAAGAUGUAACGGGGCUCAAACCAUGUACCGAAGCUGCGGGCUCGGCGUAAGCCGGGCGGUAGAGGAGCGUUCUGUAAGCCGGCGAAGGCGGACCCGCGAGGGCUGCUGGAGGUAUCAGAAGUGCGAAUGCUGACAUGAGUAACGAUAAAGGGGGUGAAAAUCCUCCUCGCCGAAAGACCAAGGGUUCCUGCGCAACGUUCAUCGGCGCAGGGUAAGUCGGCCCCUAAGGCGAGGCCGAAAGGCGUAGUCGAUGGGAAGCUGGUUAACAUUCCAGCACCAAUGUCUGCUGCGAUGGGGUGACGGAGAAGGCUAGACUGGCCUGGCGAUGGUCGUCCAGGUGAAAGCGCGUAGGCCGCGGUUCCAGGCAAAUCCGGAACCGCAAGGCUGAGACGUGACGACGAACGGGUCCUUUGUGACCCGGAAGUGGUUGAUGCCACGCUUCCAAGAAAAACCUCUAAGCUUCAGGCAGACAAUUGACCGUACCCCAAACCGACACAGGUGGUCGGGUAGAGAAUACCAAGGCGCUUGAGAGAACUCGGGU
rnacentral:rRNA from 1 species